CACUGUCGGAGGGUCAGUGCUGAAGGAGCGCCGUACUGUCGGAGGGUCAGUGCUGAGGGAGUGGGCACAGUCGGAGGGUCAGUGCUGAGGGAGUGGGCACUGUCGGAAGGAAACAGUGAGGGUCACCCUAAUGAAUAUGAAGACACGCUGACGAAAUAUAUAUUGGCUCAAGGUCCGAAAUGGAGCCUGGGACUUUCCUGGAUUCUCUGAGUCAUGGUCAUCCCCUAUGGUCUCGGUGAGGGGCUGUGAUGGGGACAAUCGUCUGGAACCCCUUUGAAAGGGGAAGUCUCAUUUAAUGAGCAGCUGGCCCAAGGAACACCAAGCGCUUUUCAAAUCCUGAUUUCUUUGUGUU